rnacentral:rRNA from 1 species
AUUGAACGCUGGCGGAAUGCUUUACACAUGCAAGUCGAACGGCAGCACGGGGGCAGCCCUGGUGGCGAGUGGCGAACGGGUGAGUAAUACAUCGGAACGUGCCCGGUCGUGGGGGAUAACGUAGCGAAAGUUACGCUAAUACCGCAUACGAUCUGAGGAUGAAAGCGGGGGACCUUCGGGCCUCGCGCGAUCGGAGCGGCCGAUGUCAGAUUAGGUAGUUGGUGGGGUAAAGGCCUACCAAGCCGUCGAUCUGUAGCUGGUCUGAGAGGACGACCAGCCACACUGGGACUGAGACACGGCCCAGACUCCUACGGGAGGCAGCAGUGGGGAAUUUUGGACAAUGGGCGCAAGCCUGAUCCAGCCAUUCCGCGUGCAGGACGAAGGCCUUCGGGUUGUAAACUGCUUUUGUACGGAACGAAAAGGCUCUGGCUAAUACCUGGGGCUCAUGACGGUACCGUAAGAAUAAGCACCGGCUAACUACGUG